GUGCUUCAGCGGAACAUGUACUCAAACUGGAACAAUACAGAGAAGAUUAACAUGGGCCCUGUGCAAGGAUGACAUGCAAAUCGAGAAGCAUUCCUUAUUUUU